rnacentral:rRNA from 1 species
GACGAACGCUGGCGGCGUGCCUAAUACAUGCAAGUUGAGCGCUGAAGGUUGGUACUUGUACCAACUGGAUGAGCAGCGCACGGGUGAGUAACGCGUGGGGAAUCUGCCUUUGAGCGGGGGACAACAUUUGGAAACGAAUGCUAAUACCGCAUAAAAACUUUAAACACAAGUUUUAAGUUUGAAAGAUGCAAUUGCAUCACUCAAAGAUGAUCCCGCGUUGUAUUAGCUAGUUGGUGAGGUAAAGGCUCACCAAGGCGAUGAUACAUAGCCGACCUGAGAGGGUGAUCGGCCACAUUGGGACUGAGACACGGCCCAAACUCCUACGGGAGGCAGCAGUAGGGAAUCUUCGGCAAGAGACGAAAGUCUGACCGAGCAACGCCGCGUGAGUGAAGAAGGUUUUCGGAUCGUAAAACUCUGUUGGUAGAGAAGAACGUUGGUGAGAGUGGAAAGCUCAUCAAGUGACGGUAACUACCCAGAAAGGGACGGCUAACUACGUG